CCAGGUUCUGCAUGACGGCAGCGCCCUUCGUCAAAACCCAAGUGCCGCACAAGUACCGGCAGAUGUUCUCAACCAUGGUAAACGGACGCUUUGAAAAGAGAGGCAACAACUUUGUUAAAUGUCUUUGUUAAAUGUUCAAUGACUUUGUUCCAUGUUAAAUGGCUUUGUUAAAAGUCAUUGUUCAGAAACUGUGCACAAAACAAUGACAAGCCCACUGAUUGAGGGUAGAUAGAAGCAUAGGCAUAUGUGAACAAGGCAAAAACAAUGAAAAGAGUGGGCAAUCCCUCUUGUGUAAAAAGGCAAUGGCCAUUCAUUUCUAUGCUUAAAUAUUCCUCCUGCAACUGCAUCAACUUUUUAAUCGACUAACAGAGAAUCUGUGGGACUAAUGCUUACUACAGCGCUAUAUUCCAAGUGUCUACCACCUGGUGAUUUGGUUGUACAGAAUCAGCUGAAGUUACAUAUAAAGAUGUAUAGAACUUAGUGAGAA
rnacentral:lncRNA from 1 species